rnacentral:rRNA from 1 species
AAAUAACUACGAGCAAAAGCUUAAAACUCAAAGGACUUGACGGUGUCCCACACACAACCUAGAGGAGCCUGUCCUAUAAUCGAUGAUCCACGAAAGACCACACCGCCCCUUGCCAAACAAUCUAUAUACCGCCGUCGCAAGUUUACCUCUUGAGAGAAACAAAGUGAGCAAAAUCGCCCAACACAAAAACGACAGGUCAAGGUGUAGUUUAUGGGGCGGCAGAGAUGGGCUACACUUCCUUGCAAAGGAAAGACGGAUGGUCAAAUGAAAACUAACCUGAAGGAGGAUUUAGUAGUAAAAUAGGAUCAGCAAGCCUAUUUGAACACAUUGCCCUGGGACGCGU